CGGGCCUGGUUAGUACUUGGAUGGGAGACCGCCUGGGAAUACCGGGUGCUGUAGGCUUUUGCCUUCGGCCUGUUGCCUCUGGCCUCCUUGACCUCUCCUUUGGCGCCCGCCGCCCCUCCCCCCUCCCUCCGUGUGUCCCUCUCCCCCCGGGGAGCGCGGCUCCGGGGGCCAAACACACCCCGGCCGCUGCUCCCUCAGCCCCUCCCGGGCCGGUUCAGCGGCCUGGCCUGGCCUAGCCUGGCCCCGCCCCGCCACGCCCCGCCCCCCGAGCCCGCACACCCCACGGCACUUCACAAGGGGUCCGCUCGCCGCUCCCCGCUUCCCGCACCAGGCUAAAUCCCACUGCCCCGGCUGGAAGCCACGCCCCGGCUUUGCACCUUUCCCGACACUGCACCCGCACGGAAGGGGUGGGGGGGUGCGGUGAGGGCGGGUCCGGGGGCUGGCGCCUGGGGACUGGAGGGUGGGGGCUGGGUGGGUGGAUACAAGAACCCAGGAGCGGGCGGGGCAGCGAGACCCCAGACUCAGAUUCCGCCACAGGCCUGGGCUCCCUGGGUCCCGGACCUCUUCCCUCCCUGGAGCCCUCAUCCCCAGGGUCCCCGGCGUUGCGCGAGGCCCAGCUAGGGCAGCGGGCCCGGGCUGGUGAUGUUCUCUGGGGGCGCUGGGGCCUCCGGUGUGGCCUUGCAUCAGUGAGCGGCCCGACGUGGUGCGGUGCGGUGCGGUGCGGUGCGGGAUGCAAGCGGAGGCGGGCGUGGGGCCAAGCCAGGAGCAGCCUGCAAGAGUCCCGGGACCGGCGAAGGCCGUGGCUUGCGCCACAGCGCCUUGCCGGGGUCCUCUUGGGCCGCUUCCGCCACCCGCCCGGGGCCCGCGGCGGAGGGCGGCGGCAGCCAGGCAGGCAGGCAGUCAGGCGCGUGCACGGCUGGAGCGCGGCACCGCUGAGUUGGGACGCCUGGAGCAGGCUCUUGAGGCGCCCAGCGGCAGCGGCCGGCGUCUACGGCCAUACCACCCUGAACGCGCCCGAUCUCGUCUGAUCUCGGAAGCUAAGCAGGGUCGGGCCUGGUUAGUACUUGGAUGGGAGACCGCCUGGGAAUACCGGGUGCUGUAGGCUUUUGCCUUCGGCCUGUUGCCUCUGGCCUCCUUGACCUCUCCUUUGGCGCCCGCCGCCCCUCCCCCCUCCCUCCGUGUGUCCCUCUCCCCCCGGGGAGCGCGGCUCCGGGGGCCAAACACACCCCGGCCGCUGCUCCCUCAGCCCCUCCCGGGCCGGUUCAGCGGCCUGGCCUGGCCUAGCCUGGCCCCGCCCCGCCACGCCCCGCCCCCCGAGCCCGCACACCCCACGGCACUUCACAAGGGGUCCGCUCGCCGCUCCCCGCUUCCCGCACCAGGCUAAAUCCCACUGCCCCGGCUGGAAGCCACGCCCCGGCUUUGCACCUUUCCCGACACUGCACCCGCACGGAAGGGGUGGGGGGGUGCGGUGAGGGCGGGUCCGGGGGCUGGCGCCUGGGGACUGGAGGGUGGGGGCUGGGUGGGUGGAUACAAGAACCCAGGAGCGGGCGGGGCAGCGAGACCCCAGACUCAGAUUCCGCCACAGGCCUGGGCUCCCUGGGUCCCGGACCUCUUCCCUCCCUGGAGCCCUCAUCCCCAGGGUCCCCGGCGUUGCGCGAGGCCCAGCUAGGGCAGCGGGCCCGGGCUGGUGAUGUUCUCUGGGGGCGCUGGGGCCUCCGGUGUGGCCUUGCAUCAGGUGGGCGGACGGGAGGGAAAGGCCGGGGAGGGGGGGGGGCGGGGGCUGGCCGGGCUCGCCCUGAGACUGGGGAGGAGGCGCUGAGAGCCCGGCGAGGGGUGGGGGGCCCAGAAGGCACGGCCGGCCGGAUGCCCCACGCUCGCUUCCACCCUCUUCCCAGUGAGCGGCCCGACGUGGUGCGGUGCGGUGCGGUGCGGUGCGGUGCGGUGCGAUGCGGUGCGGGAUGCAAGCGGAGGCGGGCGUGGGGCCAAGCCAGGAGCAGCCUGCAAGAGUCCCGGGACCGGCGAAGGCC
rnacentral:lncRNA from 1 species